rnacentral:rRNA from 1 species
AGAAUGAACGCUGGCGGCAUGCCUAACACAUGCAAGUCGAACGAGACCUUCGGGUCUAGUGGCGCACGGGUGCGUAACACGUGGGAAUCUACCCCUUGGUUCGGAAUAACAGUUGGAAACGACUGCUAAUACCGGAUGAUGACGUAAGUCCAAAGAUUUAUCGCCGAGGGAUGAGCCCGCGUAGGAUUAGCUAGUUGGUGUGGUAAAGGCGCACCAAGGCGACGAUCCUUAGCUGGUCUGAGAGGAUGAUCAGCCACACUGGGACUGAGACACGGCCCAGACUCCUACGGGAGGCAGCAGUGGGGAAUAUUGGACAAUGGGCGAAAGCCUGAUCCAGCAAUGCCGCGUGAGUGAUGAAGGCCUUAGGGUUGUAAAGCUCUUUUACCCGGGAUGAUAAUGACAGUACCGGGAGAAUAAGCUCCGGCUAACUCCGCGCCAGCAGCCGC